UGGGGUAAACGGACAGAGCCCGUGAAUCCGGGCGGCGGAAUUCAGAAUCGACGACGUUCGCGCGUCGCCGGUUCGAUAUUUCCGUCGCCGUAACAUUUGUACGGACGUCGCGACCCGUUCGGUGUCGGUCUUUCCAGGAGACGUGUCAAAGUUCGUGGGCGCGUGUCGGUCGUUUCGGCGGUUCGGCGCGCGUUCGCGAGUACGCGUUUUUUUUCUGGCCGACUCGCCGGACGGUAUGCGUAACGGUGACCGCGGCGGCCUUUCGAGCGCCGUCGCGUUUUUGGUACCGGUCCGCGACGAAUCUUC
rnacentral:rRNA from 1 species